GAACGUGGUGGGAGACGGAGAGGGCCUUGUACGUGCCAUCUUUCAGGCACAGGGUCCAGAACCCGCUCUGGGUCUUAGCAGAGAUGUACUGUCCUUUGCGGUUCACUGACUCCACACAGAUCCCGAUGGUCCACUUGCUGUUCCCUGCUACUUCCACCUCCCAGUAGUGGCUGCCACUGGAGAAACGGUUCCGACCCAGCACCGCUGGCAUUGUAUCAAAUCGCUCAGGUUUGUCCGGCACGUCCUGCUUUUUGGUCACGGAUUUCACACACUUUCCAUCAGGUGACACGGCAAGCUAUUGUUUAAAGACAAGUUUAGCACUGGGACAAGGAACCUGCUGACCAGACUGGCCAACACUCCAGUCCCUCAGGACUGAGAAUGGGCAGAGGACAGGAAAGAUGGUGACAAGGACUUAAGAUUCUUCACUUUGUCCUGUAAAUGUCUGUGGGGGGCUAAAAGGGGGACUAAAGACUCGGCCUCUCUGCUUGCAUUUUACACCAACCUUCUUUACUCCAAAGUCACCCUGGAUUCCAGGAAAAAGGGAUGAUGGAUGGACCUCAUGUGAAGAGUAGAGUCCACCUCAGCUUCCCCAGCUCAGGCAACAGCAACUUCCUUAUUGGACAAGGCCCUGUGGGACCAGCCUGAGAUAAGAAUGGGCAGGGCACACCUGACCAAGACCUCCUGCAUUGGCAGCUGUGCAAAGCCUCCAGCUGUGUAAGCUCCUCACACUGGACCUCAGUCCCCUUUCUGUAAAUCCUCAAAGUCCUUGUCAGCCCUGAAGACAGGGCUAAGGACAUGGGUCCCCGCAUCUUUCCAGAGUAGAUGAUCAAAGUUCCUUUUCAAGUUUUUUAAAACAAAAAAACAAAAUAAAAAACCAUUCAAUAUCAUUAGCCACAAGGAGUAACUGCAGGUCAAUACCACCAUGAGAAACCAUCUCACCCCAGUUAGAAUGGCUGUGAUCGAGACAGAGCAAAACAUCGUGCAUGGAGAGCCCCCCUUUGGGAGAGUCGACAGGCCGCGGCACAAGCCCAGGAGCAGGUUCCUCACCCCUGGGCAUGGCACCCACACAGCCGUCUCACGCUGAAGCAGGAUAUUUUUGCUUUCUUCCAGAAAACCUCCCACCUAACCGUAUAAUGCAUUCUCUGCCCUCAAGAAAAUGUGACAUGCGCAGCACCACCUGAGCGCAGAUCCGUUCGGCCUCUCAAUUCUUGGCCAGCGUUCAGGUAACAUUCUCUCCUGGAACGAGAUCUGCGUGCUGGCCGCCUGGGCUUGGCUCUGCCUGGGCUUGGGAAAGAGAGUCCCAGGGCUGAUGUCCCUCUCCUCUGACCAGGCCACCCGCUGGCUCACUCUGGACAGCAGUGCAGCCAGCGCUCUCCUUCCUCACCACCGCCUCUCACUCCCAGUCCCUGCUCUUCAGCAACUUGGCCUGGCUGGCCCCUCCUCAGCAGGACCCAUGGGCUCACUCCUCCUGCUGUGGGAGGAGUCAUUCGUCAUCACUGGGGGGCGCGAGGGAGGUGGAAGGGCUGAAGCCCCACACCACGCCUUCCCGCAUCCCUGCCAGGACUGUCUACCUUCUAUGAAUGCUCAAUACGGACCUUUCAAAUUACCACGAUAUUGGUUUAAUUGUCCCCAAACAUUAUUUUUAGGUGAUUAAAGGAAUUGCUAAUGGAUUUUGGUUUUGUUGCAACAAUCACAAAGAUCAAUUGUGUAUAUGUCAAACUACUGCAUAGGUCAAAAAUAAAUGUCACUUACCUUU